rnacentral:rRNA from 1 species
UACGGGGGGAGCAAGCGUUGUUCGGAUUUACUGGGCGUAAAGGGCGCGUAGGCGGCCACUGCAAGUCAGUUGUGAAAUCUCCGGGCUUAACCCGGAAAGGUCAACUGAUACUGCAGGGCUAGAGUGCAGAAGGGGCAACUGGAAUUCUCGGUGUAGCGGUGAAAUGCGUAGAUAUCGAGAGGAACACCAGUGGCGAAGGCGGCUCACUGGCCCGGAACUGACGCUGAGGUGCGAAAGCGUGGGGAGCAAACAGG